rnacentral:rRNA from 1 species
CUAGCUGUAAACGAUGCAAACUUGGUGUUGGUGGGGUAAAAUCCGCCGGUGCCGAAGCUAACGCGAUAAGUUUGCCGCCUGGGGACUACGGCCGCAAGGUUAAAACUCAAAGGAAUUGACGGGGCCCCGCACAAGCAGCGGAGCGUGUGGUUUAAUUCGUUGCUACGCGAAAAACCUUAACCCGGGUUUGACAUAUAGGUAGUAGGGAUUCGAGAGAUGACCGACCCUUCGGGGAGCCUAUACGGGUGCUGCAUGGCUGUCGUCAGCUCGUGCCGUGAGGUGUCCGGUUAAGUCCGGUAACGAGCGCAACCCUCGCUGUAUGUUACAAGUGUCAUACAGGACUGCCGGUAUCAAGCCG